AACGCGAAGAACCUUACCUGGCCUUGACAUCCAGAGAACUUUCCAGAGAUGGAUUGGUGCCUUCGGGAACUCUGAGACAGGUGCUGCAUGGCUGUCGUCAGCUCGUGUUGUGAAAUGUUGGGUUAAGUCCCGCAACGAGCGCAACCCUUAUCCUUUGUUGCCAGCGGUCCGGCCGGGAACUCAAAGGAGACUGCCAGGGAUAAACUGGAGGAAGGUGGGGAUGACGUCAAGUCAUCAUGGCCCUUACGAGUAGGGCUACACACGUGCUACAAUGGCGCAUACAAAGAGAAGCGACCUCGCGAGAGCAAGCGGACCUCAUAAAGUGCGUCGUAGUCCGGAUUGGAGUCUGCAACUCGACUCCAUGAAGUCGGAAUCGCUACUAAUCGUGAAUCAGAAUGCUACGGUGAAUACGUUCCCGGGCCUUGUACACACCG
rnacentral:rRNA from 1 species